rnacentral:rRNA from 1 species
UACGUAGGGGGCAAGCGUUAUCCGGAUUUACUGGGUGUAAAGGGGGCGCAGACGGCGAUGCAAGCCAGGAGUGAAAGCCCGGGGCCCAACCCCGGGACUGCUCUUGGAACUGCGUGGCUGGAGUGCAGGAGGGGCAGGCGGAAUUCCUGGUGUAGCGGUGAAGUGCGUAGAUAUCAGGAGGAACACCGGUGGCGAAGGCGGUCUGCUGGACAGCAACUGACGGUGAGGCGCGAAAGCGUGGGGAGCAAACAGG